rnacentral:rRNA from 1 species
GAUGAACGCUAGCGGCAGGCCUAACACAUGCAAGUCGAGGGGCAGCACGUCUUCGGAUGGUGGCGACCGGCGCACGGGUGCGUAACGCGUAUGCAACCUACCUCUUACAGUGGGAUAGCCCAGAGAAAUUUGGAUUAAUACCGCAUAGUAUACAGAUUCAGCAUUGGGACUGUAUUAAACAUUUAUGGGUAAGAGAUGGGCAUGCGUCCUAUUAGUUAGUUGGAGUGGUAACGGCACCCCAAGACAGCGAUAGAUAGGGGCCCGUGAGAGGGGGAGUCCCCACCACUGGUACGUGAGACACGGACCAGACUCCUACGGAGGCAGCAGUGAGGAAUAAUUGGACG